GCACACCAGAACCCUACUUGACACAGCUGUACCAACGAUUUUCCACCAUCCUCAACAUGGACCCAGUGCCAGUGGACUAAGUGGUCACAACCCUCUGAAAAGAAAGUCCACAGCCAUUGAAAAGCGGACGAGAAAGGCUGCAGUGCAAUCGAUGAUACAAGAAUACCAGGCUCAUUCGAAGACACAGUGCGUAAGUGUUGAUCCAGACACGGAUAAUCCUGAGUUGGAGGAACUUGCAGCUUGGUCAGCUCCUAAAUCGGUGUCCAGACAACUUCUGGGCCCCUCAGUAAGGUGCGUGGAUUUGAAGUCCUAAAACCCUGGAUUGGCAGCAUCAUUAACCAUUUGUAUUGGUCUGUGGCGUCGACGCGACCUGGGAACCCUGGGCUCGUCCUCGACAAGUGGCAGUCAGUUCUGAGCCAUGUCCAGAAUGAUCACUCGGGCUUCAAAGGCAGUUUCCCCAGGUGCAGCUUUGGUCCUUUGGAAGGUCGGGAACAGAAAAAGCCUUGGCUCACGCCUCACACUAAGUUGACCCAUUAGCUGGAGAAGAUGAUCUGUGGCUCCAAACUGUUGGCCGACGUCCACCGGCUGUCUCCGGUCUACCAGACUUCCCACCUGGAAGCCUUCCACAGUCUGGUGAACCAUUUUACACCCAAAAUGUUCGCCUUUUCUUACGAGGGGAUGCUCAGCAGAUUAUGUUGGCGAGCUGAUGUGGAGAGGUUGGUGCAGGAUGUCGGUGACGUAGAGCCGGAUGAAUGGGAGGCGAAAACGGCUGUACCCGAGGCUGAGAGUUUACCCCUCAGCAGCAGCUGUCAGCGACCUGACAAAGAACAGGCGGUCCAGGACCAUGUCGUACACAAGAAAGCCCGCAAACAGUUUG